UAUAACAACCAUACCAACUACUCGCCUAAUCUCGCCAGAUGUCAGACACUAUGCAAGUCUGGGCUUGGGCUGUACUAGGAUGAGAGACCACCAAGGAAAACCAGGUCGCUAUUUUAA
rnacentral:rRNA from 1 species